rnacentral:rRNA from 1 species
GACGAACGCUGGCGGCGCGCCUAACACAUGCAAGUCGAACGGAGUCAAGAGGAGCUUGCUUUUCUUGACUUAGUGGCGAACGGGUGAGUAACGCGUGAGUAACCUGCCCUGGAGUGGGGGACGACAGUUGGAAACGACUGCUAAUACCGCAUAAGCCCACGGAUCCGCAUGGAUCUGCGGGAAAAGGAUUUAUUCGCUUCAGGAUGGACUCGCGUCCAAUUAGCUAGUUGGUGAGGUAACGGCCCACCAAGGCGACGAUUGGUAGCCGGACUGAGAGGUUGAACGGCCACAUUGGGACUGAGACACGGCCCAGACUCCUACGGGAGGCAGCAGUGGGGGAUAUUGCACAAUGGGGGAAACCCUGAUGCAGCGACGCCGCGUGGAGGAAGAAGGUUUUCGGAUUGUAAACUCCUGUCGUUAGGGACGAUAAUGACGGUACCUAACAAGAAAGCACCGGCUAACUACGUG